rnacentral:rRNA from 1 species
CCUACGGGGGGCUGCAGUAGGGAAUCUUCCGCAAUGGACGAAAGUCUGACGGAGCAACGCCGCGUGAGCGAAGAAGGCCUUCGGGUCGUAAAGCUCUGUUGUCAGGGAAGAACAAGUAUCGGAGUAACUGCCGGUACCUUGACGGUACCUGACGAGAAAGCCACGGCUAACUACGUGCCAGCAGCCGCGGUAAUACGUAGGUGGCAAGCGUUGUCCGGCAUUAUUGGGGGUAAAGCGCGCGCAGGCGGUCCUUUAAGUCUGAUGUGAAAGCCCCCGGCUCAACCGGGGAGGGUAAUUGGAAGCGUGGGGACUUGGGGGAGAGGGAGGGAGGUAGACGCCACCGGGGAGGGUGGAAUGGCGAGGGGAUGGGGAGGAACAGAGGUGGCGAAGGGGGGUGCCGGCCGUAUAGCUGACUCUGAGGCGGGAAAGGUUGGGGAGGAAAGAGGUUGAGCGACCCUAGGGGUC